rnacentral:rRNA from 1 species
UGCCCCGAAAACCUAAGGAUUCCUCUGGAAGGUUCGUCCACGGAGGGUGAGUCAGGGCCUAAGGCGAGGCUGAAAAGCGUAGUCGAUGGAUGACAGGUUAAUAUUCCUGUACUAUUUAUAGUUGAUAACGAGGGACGAAGAAGGCUAGGUCAGCCGGAUGUUGGUUACCGGUUUAAACUCUCAAUGUGAUGAGGAGUGGAGAAAACAUUCUGAGCAAAGAAGUGAAUACAAAAUACUAAGGUAUUAAAGUGAUUGAUGUCAUACUUCCUAGAAAAGCUCGAUCUAUCUUAAACUAUAAAUACCUGUACCCGAAACCGACACAGGUAGGUAGGUAGAGUAUACCAAGGGGCGCGAGAUAACUCUCUCUAAGGAACUCGGCAAAAUGGCCCCGUAACUUCGGAAGAAGGGGUACCCUUGUAGGGUUGCAAUAACCAGGCCCAAGCGACUGUUUAUCAAAAACACAGGUCUCCGCUAAGUCGCAAGACAAUGUAUGGGGGCUGACGCCUGCCCAGUGCCGGAAGGUUAAAGAAGUUGGUUAAUAUUAUUAUGAAGCUGACGACUGAAGCCCCGGUGAACGGCGGCCGUAACAAUAACGGUCCUAAGGUAGCGAAAUUCCUUGUCGGGUAAGUUCCGACCCGCACGAAAGGCGUAACGAUUUGGGUACUGUCUCGGAGAGAGACUCGGCGAAAUAGACUUGUCUGUGAAGAUGCGGACUACCUGCACCUGGACAGAAAGACCCUAUGAAGCUUUACUGUAACUUGGAAUUGAGUUUGGGCUUUUCUUGCGCAGCAUAGGUGGGAGGCUAAGAAAAUAGGUUUGCGGAUUUAUUUGAGCCAUCAGUGAGAUACCACUCUGGAAAAGCUAGAAUUCUAACCUUGAAAGCCGUUAACCGGCCAAGGAACAGUUUCAGGCGGGCAGUUUGACUGGGGCGGUCGCCUCCUAAAAAGUAACGGAGGCGUGCAAAGGUUCCCUCAGGCUGGUUGGAAAUCAGUCGUAGAGUGUAAAGGCAUAAGGGAGCUUGACUGCAAGACCUACAAGUCGAGCAGAGACGAAAGUCGGCCUUAGUGAUCCGACAGUGCCGAGUGGAAGGGCUGUCGCUCAACGGAUAAAAGUUA